GUAACAACCAUUUCCAUUCCUGCAGUUGUUGAGCUGUUUGCUGCAGUGUCCUAUCAGAUUUUGAGCAGCUAAGUGAAUCUGUAUGAGCUAGCAGGUGGUUGUUCCAGUUUUAGGAGGUUUCAGGGACAGGCUGUGGAGGUGGGCCUUCUCUUCUUUUCCCCUCCCCUACUCCAGCCCACACACUCUCAGUUCAGAUUCCUCCCGGUUCCCAGGAACACCGCUGCCUUCCAGCGCUUGGAGGCCAGGAGAGCAGUGCUGUGGAGAAGAGAGGAUAGAGGAUCUAGGACCAAGACCAUGGCUAGACACGUUAUCGUCUUCAAGGGCUUCAUCUUGCUGCAGUUCCUGUGCCUGGCCCUGGCUCAAGUGAGUGGCCCUCCUGGAGCACAGGGACUUCCAGGACCUCCCGGGGCACCUGGAACCCCGGGAGCCGAUGGUAUCGAUGUAAGUAGCUUACUGGAGUUGCUCCCAUAGCCUGGAACCACACAAAGGUGCCCAUUGUACACUUCACGUUGGAGAAAAGCACUCCUGUAGUAG
rnacentral:lncRNA from 1 species